rnacentral:lncRNA from 1 species
CUCAUUUCAGUUACUAACCAUGUGCCAACAUAAAAAGUAACUAACAAGCACUACAUGAAGCAAAAAAAAAAAAAAAAUUGCCACAAUAAACAAUUACAAUCCUAUAUUUAGAAAAAACAAAACUACAAUACCUUGAAUUCAUCAAACCAAAAGUCUUGGACCUUUCCAUUCACAUUACUCCAAGAUGUCCAACCCCCUUGAAGAUUUCCUUAAACAUUGUUGGUGAUGGCACUUCCCACUUAAGGUGAAAACUAAAAGAACAAAAGGAAAAUGUACAACAUCAAACAUCGGAAUCGUAUCUGGUGUCCUUAUUUGUGCUUCAUAGCUUAUAUGCUCAGUCACUAGCUCUGAAUUUGCAAGAAGAUAUCCCCAUUCACUAGCUCAGCUACACACCAACACUAUGAGAUUGAAAUUGAAAUUUUUUAUCAAUCCCUUCAUGAACCGCAUCUAUUACUUUCUCUAGAAGCUAUAGUCUUUCUUUUAGCUUAAAAAUGGCAGCCAAAGAUUAACUUUUGCAAUAUUAAGAAAAACGUAAUGGCUUCUAUCUAUGAAUGCACACACACAAAAAAUAUAAAGGUUUAUAGAAAGAGGAUCAUGGCCAACAAAGGUUAGAUGAAAUGGUGAGUGC